rnacentral:rRNA from 1 species
UAGGCUUGACAUCCCAAGAAGAUAGUAGAGAUACUGUUGUGUCUGCUUGCAGAAACUUGGUGACAGGUGCUGCACGGCUGUCGUCAGCUCGUGUCGUGAGAUGUUGGGUUAAGUCCCGCAACGAGCGCAACCCCUAUCCUUAGUUGCUAACAGUUAGGCUGAGCACUUUAAGGAGACUGCCUGGGCAACCAGGAGGAAGGUGGGGACGACGUCAAGUCAUCAUGGCCCUUAUGCCUAGGGCGACACACGUGCUACAAUGGAUAGGAUAAAAAGAAGCGAUACGGUGACGUGGAGCAAAUCUCAAAACCUAUUCUCAGUUCGGAUUGUAGUCUGCAACUCGACUACAUGAAGUUGGAAUCGCUAGUAAUCGUGGAUCAGCCAUGCCACGGUGAAUACGUUCCCGGGUCU